rfam:Felis catus isolate Cinnamon breed Abyssinian chromosome D4, whole genome shotgun sequence.
GCCUGGGUGGCUCAGUCGGUUGAGCGUCUGACUUCGGCUCAGGUCAUGAUCUCACGGUUUGUGGGUUUUAGCCCCACAUCAGGCU